CGUCCGCUCCGUCAGGCCCUCUAGCUGCUCCUGUGCUGCAGCAAAGCCUAUCUGUCUGGAGGCCGGGCCCACAGACACUCUAUUGUCCAGCCCAGCAGAGAGGUAAGCCUGCGGGUGACCCAAAGCUGCUGAAGCAGCAAG
rnacentral:lncRNA from 1 species